rnacentral:rRNA from 1 species
UAGCAUAUCAAUAAGCGGAAGGAAAAGAAACCAACAGGGAUUGCCUAGUAACGGCGAGUGAAGCGGCAACAGCUCAAAUUUGAAAUCUGGCCUUCGGGUCCGAGUUGUAAUUUGCAGAGGAUGCUUUUGGUGAGGUGCCUUCCGAGUUCCCUGGAACGGGACGCCAUAGAGGGUGAGAGCCCCGUCUGGUCGGACACCAAUCCUUUGUAAAGCUCCUUCGACGAGUCGAGUAGUUUGGGAAUGCUGCUCUAAAUGGGAGGUAUAUGUCUUCUAAAGCUAAAUACCGGCCAGAGACCGAUAGCGCACAAGUAGAGUGAUCGAAAGAUGAAAAGCACUUUGAAAAGAGAGUUAAACAGUACGUGAAAUUGUUGAAAGGGAAGCGCUCAUGACCAGACUUGGGCUUGGUUGAUCAACUUGGGUUCUCCCGGGUGCACUCUUCCUCGUCCAGGCCAGCAUCAGUUCGCUGCGGGGGAUAAAGGUUUCGGGAAUGUGGCUCCCUCGGGAGUGUUAUAGCCCGUUGCGUAAUACCCUGCGGUGGACUGAGGUCCGCGCAUCUGCAAGGAUGCUGGCGUAAUGGUCAUCAGCGACCCGUCUUGAAACACGGACCAAGGAGUCGUCUUCGUAUGCGAGUGUUCGGGUGUUAAACCCCUACGCGGAAUGAAAGUGAACGCAGGUGAGAGCUUCGGCGCAUCAUCGACCGAUCCUGAUGUUCUCGGAUGGAUUUGAGUAAGAGCAUACGGGGCCGGACCCGAAAGAAGGUGAACUAUGCCUGUAUAGGGUGAAGCCAGAGGAAACUCUGGUGGAGGCUCGCAGCGGUUCUGACGUGCAAAUCGAUCGUCAAAUAUGGCAUGGGGCGAAAGACUAAUCGAACCUUCUAGUAGCUGGGUUUCCGCCGA